UUGAACGCUGGCGGUAUGCUUAACACAUGCAAGUCGAACGGAAACGAUACUAGCUUGCUAGUAGGCGUCGAGUGGCGGACGGGUGAGUAACGCGUAGGAAUCUGCCUGAUAGUGGGGGAUAGCCCGAAGAAAUUCGGAUUAAUACCGCAUAAUCUAUUUGUAGUAAAGUGGGGGACUUUCGAGCCUCACGCUAUCAGAUGAGCCUGCGUAAGAUUAGCUUGUUGGUAGGGUAAAAGCCUACCAAGGCAACGAUCUUUAGCUGGUCUGAGAGGAUGAUCAGCCACAUCGGGACUGAGACACGGCCCGAACUCCUACGGGAGGCAGCAGUGGGGAAUAUUGGACAAUGGGAGCAACCCUGAUCCAGCAAUACCGCGUGUGUGAAGAAGGCCUGAGGGUUGUAAAGCACUUUCAAUUGUGAAGAAAAGUUAACGGUUAAUAACCGUUAGCCUUGACGUUAACUUUAGAAGAAGCACCGGCUAACUCCGUGCCAGCAGCCGCGGUAAUACGGAGGGUGCAAGCGUUAAUCGGAAUUACUGGGCGUAAAGCGUGCGUAGGCGGUUUAUUAAGUCAGAUGUGAAAGCCCCGGGCUUAACCUGGGAACUGCAUUUGAAACUGGUCAACUAGAGUAUGGUAGAGGAAAGUGGAAUUUCUGGUGUAGCGGUGAAAUGCGUAGAUAUCAGAAGGAACAUCAAUGGCGAAAGGCAGCUUUCUGGACCAAUACUGACGCUGAGGUACGAAAGCGUGGGUAGCAAACAGGAUUAGAUACCCUGGUAGUCCACGCCGUAAACGAUGAUAACUAGCCGUUGGGGGGAUUUACCCUUUAGUGGCGAAGCUAACGCGUUAAGUUAUCCGCCUGGGGAGUACGGCCGCAAGGUUAAAACUCAAAGGAAUUGACGGGGACCCGCACAAGCGGUGGAGCAUGUGGUUUAAUUCGAUGCAACGCGAAGAACCUUACCUGGUCUUGACAUCCUGCGAACUUUCUAGAAAUAGAUUGGUGCCUUCGGGAACGCAGUGACAGGUGCUGCAUGGCUGUCGUCAGCUCGUGUCGUGAGAUGUUGGGUUAAGUCCCGUAACGAGCGCAACCCCUAUCCUUAUUUGCCAGCACGUCAUGGUGGGAACUAUAAGGAGACUGCCGGUGAUAAACCGGAGGAAGGCGGGGACGACGUCAAGUCAUCAUGGCCCUUACGACCAGGGCUACACACGUGCUACAAUGGGAAGGACAAAGAGCCGCGAAGCCGCGAGGUGUAGCUAAUCUCAGAAAUCUUUUCGUAGUCCGGAUUGGAGUCUGCAACUCGACUCCAUGAAGUCGGAAUCGCUAGUAAUCGUAGAUCAGAAUGCUACGGUGAAUACGUUCCCGGGUCUUGUACACACUGCCC
rnacentral:rRNA from 1 species